rnacentral:rRNA from 1 species
AUUGAACGCUGGCGGCAGGCCUAACACAUGCAAGUCGAACGAGUGGCGGACGGGUGAGUAAUGUCUGGGAAACUGCCCGAUGGAGGGGGAUAACUACUGGAAACGGUAGCUAAUACCGCAUACCAUCGGAUGUGCCCAGAUGGGAUUAGCUUGUAGGUGGGGUAACGGCUCACCUAGGCGACGAUCCCUAGCUGGUCUGAGAGGAUGACCAGCCACACUGGAACUGAGACACGGUCCAGACUCCUACGGGAGGCAGCAGUAGGGAAUAGUGCGCAAUGGGCGAAAGCCUGACGGAGCCAUGCCGCGUGUGUGAAGAAGGCCUUCGGAUCGUAAAGCUCUUUCAGUGGGGAAGCGUUACCCAAAGAGAAAGCAACGGCUAACUCCGUGCCAGCCGCCGCGGUAAUUC